UACGGAAUGUGCAAACGUUAUUCGGAAUCACUGGGCUUAAAGAGUCCGUAGGCGGCAUGUUAGGUGAGGUGUGAAAUCCCCCGGCUCAACCGAGGAAUUGCGCUUCAAACCGGCGUGCUAGAGGAAGAUAGAGGUGGGCGGAACUGAUGGUGGAGCGGUGAAAUGCGUUGAUAUCAUCAGGAACACCGGAGGCGAAAGCGGCCCACUGGGUCUUUUCUGACACUGAGGGACGAAAGCUAGGGGAGCGAACGGG
rnacentral:rRNA from 1 species